rnacentral:rRNA from 1 species
CGUAUGGCGACCGGCGCACGGUGAGUAACGCGUAUGCAACCUGCCUGAUACCGGGGUAUAGCCCAUGGAAACGUGGAUUAACACCCCAUAGUACUUUUAUCCUGCCUGGGAUGGGAGUUAAAUGUUCAAGGUAUCGGAUGGGCAUGCGUCCUAUUAGUUAGUUGGCGGGGUAACAGCCCACCAAGACGAUGAUAGGUAGGGGUUCUGAGAGGAAGGUCCCCCACAUUGGAACUGAGACACGGUCCAA